GACGAACGCUGGCGGCGUGCUUAACACAUGCAAGUCGAACGGAAAGGCCCUGCUUUUGUGGGGUGCUCGAGUGGCGAACGGGUGAGUAACACGUGAGUAACCUGCCCUUGACUUUGGGAUAACUUCAGGAAACUGGGGCUAAUACCGGAUAGGAGCUCCUGCUGCAUGGUGGGGGUUGGAAAGUUUCGGCGGGUGGGGAUGGACUCGCGGCUUAUCAGCUUGUUGGUGGGGUAGUGGCUUACCAAGGCUUUGACGGGUAGCCGGCCUGAGAGGGUGACCGGCCACAUUGGGACUGAGAUACGGCCCAGACUCCUACGGGAGGCAGCAGUGGGGAAUAUUGCACAAUGGGCGGAGGCCUGAUGCAGCAACGCCGCGUGCGGGAUGACGGCCUUCGGGUUGUAAACCGCUUUCGCCUGUGACGAAGCGUGAGUGACGGUAAUGGGUAAAGAAGCACCGGCUAACUACGUG
rnacentral:rRNA from 1 species